CAGAGUUGCAAGACUCCCUAAACCAUUGUGAACCUACCUUCUACCGUUGCUUCGGCGGGCGGGCCCAGCGCCCCCCCCGGCCCCCCGCGGGCGCCCGCCAGAGGAUACCCAAACUCUUGACACUAGUGGCCUCUCUGAGUAUUCUUUACUGAAUAAGUCA
rnacentral:misc_RNA from 1 species